rnacentral:lncRNA from 1 species
GUUUCACCUCUGCAAGUUUAUCACAGCAACAGUGGUGCCUCCCGAAGAAUUCUCCUAAUGACAGAGAGAAUCUAUCUCACUUGCGCUUUAAACUGCCAGCCCUGCGUCCUGGAGCCACAUCAGCACAGCAGUCCAAAGGCAAAAACUGGGCUGUUGUACAUAAAGUCCUGGUUUCAGAUUCCGUCCUGGUGGAAUGGGCACAGAUCACACUUCAUCACUGAAAAACGGAUGCAGGUUCGAUUUGACAAUCUCCCCCGUUUUUUAUUCACCCAGGGUUCUGCCAAUCCCUUCUUGUUACAGGCUGGCUGUGUCCUCCAAAAAAAAGAAAUGUGGAAAUUCUAACCCUAAGGAGAUCUGACUUUUCCAGAUUUAAUGAAGUUAAAUUGAGGUCAUUAGGGUCAAUAUGCCUGGUGUCCUUUUAAGAGAAGAGACCUGUGGGGAGCAACUCGGACUAGACUAAGUUACUGGAAUUAAGACUUAUUCUAUGCAUCUGCUUUCCCACAAUAUGGCGCUGAGAAAGGAGUAACAACUUCUACGCAGCUGCCUCUCACCAACUUGAGUGAUGACCUCCAGGAGCUGAUCCUGCUCCUGAUUGGAGGAGAGCAGCGUACUCGGCGUGUGGGUAGCAGAGUUGGGAUUGGUGGAAGAGGACUAUAAAGGAGGAGAGAGACAACAUGCACCGGGAACAUCUAUCUGAAGGAACACCUGAGCAGCCCCCCAGAGAGCCGGCCGGCGGUGUGCCGCUCCCCUGCGGAAGUGGGGAAAGUGGCAGGGGGAACCGCCCUUCCACGGAGGUGGAAGGGUCGGCAGCCAACCCGGGAAGAACCAGCAGCAAACCCGGGGAGGGCCGAGUAGACAAAAGAACAACGCAGGGUCCUGUGUCGUUCCUCCACGAAGAGGGGGAGCGACAUAAUGGUGCCGUGACUUGGAUAGGAAGCCUAGGCAGGGCAAAGAACAGCGCAGGGUCCUGUGUCGUUCCUCCACGAAGAGGGGGAGCGACAUGAUGGUGCCGUGACUCGGAUAUGAAGCCUAGGCAGGGCUUAGUGUCAUUCCUCCACGAAGACGGGGAGCGACACUGAAGAGUUGGCCUAUAAAAUGGAGUUUUGGAGGUGCACAAAAUUCAUUCUUCUGUAUACUUUGUAGAAAACAACUUCCUUCAAAAGCCACUUGCAUAGAUCCUAGAUAAAUGCUGAGAGUGGUUGAGAGCUGAAGCUCAGGUUAUUUUGAUCAUUCAGGGAAACUAGGAAAAAAAAGAGAAGACGCUCCAGAUGGAGUAGAAGUCUGGAGAUUUUUGGAGCUUAGAACUCUCAAAGAAGAGUAGACCUUAGUGAGGUCAUAGAGAGAGUUCUGAAUACCAGGAACAAACAUAAAAAUAAUAAUAGUUAGACUUUACCAAGCACUUCCUACAUGCCAGCCCACCUUCUAUGUGUUUAACCAAUACUGUGUUUACAAUUACUCUUUACCUAUUUACUCCCAUUUCCUUAUGAGGAAAUUCUGAGGAUAAGAUAAGCUAAGGAAUGCGAAGUGCUUGGCACUGUAGCUGGCACCUGACAAACACCCCAGAGUGGAGGCUCCUAAGUUUGGUUCAUAGAAUCAAAGGACCUUGGAGUUGGAAGAGACUUUAGAAAUCCAUAGGUUGUUCUUUUUUUAAAGAUUUGUUUAUUUAAAAGAGUUACAGAGGGGGGGUGGGGGAAGAGAGAGAGAGAAAGCUCUUCCAUCCACUGGUUCACUUCCCAAAUGGCUGCAACAGCCAGGGCUGGGUUAGGCCAAAGGCAAGAGCCAGGAGCUUCAUCUGGGUCUCCUACAUGGGUUCAAUGGCCCAGGUAUUUGGGCCACCUUCUGCUUCCUUCCCAGGCCAUUAGCAGGAAGCUGGAUUGGAAGUGGAGCAGUUGAGACUGGAACCAGCAUCCAUAUGGGAUGCAUUUCAGGCAGUGGCUUUAUCUGCCUAUACGACAAUACAGGCUCCACUUAAUUUAUUAAGAUGAUAAUAAAUCAACAAAGGAAAGCUAAGAAAGGAUUUUC